AUCAUCAAAAAUCGGAGAAAAAUAAUUAGGGGUUUAAAUUUAUAUGUUUAAGAAACAAACGGGAAUAUCAUCCAAAUUUUGUGUUAAGAGAUAAUUAAUUUUUAGUACGCAAAGGUCAAAGCUGUCAAACAGUAGAACAGCGAUAAAUUUGAAGAUUUUACUGUACUAAUUGGAUAAACUAUAAAUUCUGAAAUUUUUUACUGUAGAAGGAUAUAUGAAUCUAGUUUCAAAAACAUUAAGCGGAUCUUAAUUUGGA
rnacentral:lncRNA from 1 species